AGUCCUGCUCUAGCAGAGACAGCACCAUCAAGAGUGAAGAAGAAAGUGAAACUGAGCGAUCGACUUCAGAAUUUCUCGGAAAUCAUUCUACCAGACACACCCUGGCUCGAACUUUCCUGCAAGCCUUUGUCCCUCAGAGCACAGUUUGCACAGGACAGGUACCGGGAUUAGAGCAGACUCAUCGCUGAUCUCGCUCCCGCCCAGCCGACCAUGGGUUUGAAAAGCCUUGGCAUUGUGUUCUUCGUAGGACUUAUCAUUGGAGCUGCAUUCAUAGCCGUGGCAAGUGGUACACCAGUGGCCAUCGCUGCAGCGGGGGUUAGCAUGACCAAGGCUGCUGCCCUUAUUGUCACAAUUGGGGCAGCAUAAAUGGCCUGACUCUGCCCUUCCAUCAUUGCAUAAUGAUUCUCUAUGGUCCACGCAAGGGAACAAAAGCAAGAUUCCUUCCUUCCAAGCACUGGAUUUGUCUUCGAACGGCCAGCACUGGAAUGUCAAAUCCCUCCCACAGCUUCUGCUUUACAUGCUUUGCAUUCAUUUUACUAAUAAAAUCAUGUUAAACAAUAAA